rfam:Hordeum vulgare subsp. vulgare, WGS project CAJW01000000 data, contig: morex_contig_42429
CAUGUACUCUCUCCGUCCGGAAUUACUUGUCGCACAAAUGUAUAAAAAUAAAUGUAUCUGAAACUAAAAUACAUCUAGAUACAUUCAUUCGUAUGACAAGUAUUUUCGGAGGGAGUGAGUAUAGA